rnacentral:rRNA from 1 species
CAGUCGAACGAUGAACCACUUCGGUGGGGAUUAGUGGCGAACGGGUGAGUAACACGUGGGCAAUCUGCCCUGCACUCUGGGACAAGCCCUGGAAACGGGGUCUAAUACCGGAUACUGAUCAUCUUGGGCAUCCAAGGUGUUCGAAAGCUCCGGCGGUGCAGGAUGAGCCCGCGGCCUAUCAGCUUGUUGGUGAGGUAAUGGCUCACCAAGGCGACGACGGGUAGCCGGCCUGAGAGGGCGACCGGCCACACUGGGACUGAGACACGGCCCAGACUCCUACGGGAGGCAGCAGUGGGGAAUAUUGCACAAUGGGCGAAAGCCUGAUGCAGCGACGCCGCGUGAGGGAUGACGGCCUUCGGGUUGUAAACCUCUUUCAGCAGGGAAGAAGCGAAAGUGACGGUACCUGCAGAAGAAGCGCCGGCUAACUACGUGCCAGCAGCCGCGGUAAUACGUAGGGCGCGAGCGUUGUCCGGAAUUAUUGGGCGUAAAGAGCUCGUAGGCGGCUUGUCACGUCGGUUGUGAAAGCCCGGGGCUUAACCCCGGGUCUGCAGUCGAUACGGGCAGGCUAGAGUUCGGUAGGGGAGAUCGGAAUUCCUGGUGUAGCGGUGAAAUGCGCAGAUAUCAGGAGGAACACCGGUGGCGAAGGCGGAUCUCUGGGCCGAUACUGACGCUGAGGAGCGAAAGCGUGGGGAGCGAACAGGAUUAGAUACCCUGGUAGUCCACGCCGUAAACGGUGGGCACUAGGUGUGGGCAACAUUCCACGUUGUCCGUGCCGCAGCUAACGCAUUAAGUGCCCCGCCUGGGGAGUACGGCCGCAAGGCUAAAACUCAAAGGAAUUGACGGGG